rnacentral:SRP_RNA from 1 species
GCCAGGUGUUGUGGCACAUGCCUGUAGUCCCAGCUACUCGGAGGCUGAGGCUGGAGGAUCGCUUGAGUCCAAGAGUUCUGGGCUGUCAUGUGAUAGGCUGAUUGGGUGUCUGCACUAAGUUGGGCAUCAAUAUGGUGACCUCCUGGGGGCGGGGGAAGACCAGGUUGCCUAAGAAGGGGUGAACUGGCCCAGGUUGGAAAUGGAGCUGGUCAAAACUCCCAUGCUGAUCAGUUGUGGGAUUGUGCCAGUGAAUAGCCACUGCACUCCUGCCUGGGCAAUAUAGUGAGACCCCAUCUCU